rnacentral:rRNA from 1 species
CCCUGGCAGUCAGAGGCGAUGAAGGACGUGCUAAUCUGCGAUAAGCGUCGGUGAGGUGAUAUGAACCGUUAUAACCGGCGAUUUCCGAAUGGGGAAACCCAGUGUGUUUCGACACACUAUCAUUAACUGAAUCCAUAGGUUAAUGAGGCGAACCGGGGGAACUGAAACAUCUAAGUACCCCGAGGAAAAGAAAUCAACCGAGAUUCCCCCAGUAGCGGCGAGCGAACGGGGAGGAGCCCAGAGCCUGAAUCAGUGUGUGUGUUAGUGGAAGCGUCUGGAAAGGCGCGCGAUA